CUUGUCGGCCGUUCUUCGUCCAGAGAUGAACAUGCCGGAAGCGGCCGUUCCCAGCUUUUCUCCGCAGGCCUCUCCAACCGAGCUUCUAUUGUAAAGCACCCUAUGCCGCGCAAAGCGUCAUGGGAGCUGUAGUUCCGCCGCGCCCCCGCCGCGUCCCCGGCUCUGAGUGGAGGAGUGGAAAGGGAGCGUGCGCGAAGUCACGCUUCUGGCUGCGACGCAACCGCCGCUGGGCGGUGAGUUGCCGCCAACCGCCCUAACGGCCGAAACAAUGUUAAUGGCUUUCAGAGUCUGGCGGCGCGUUCCCAUUAUCAUCUUCCUGUGACCCUUCCUCAUUUUACACGGAGGAGGUGGUCUCCACAGUGAUUUUAAAUUUAAUAUUUCUCUCAUAACCUUUGUGAGAUAAAAGAAUCUUCAUCCUUUUAACUUUGACGAGGGAUGAAAUGAAGGUUUCCACAACAUUUGGGAAGAUUUACAAGGUAUACUCCAUUUAGGCAAAAAUAACUGUCAGGGAAUAGUCAUUGUCAAGAGCAGUUUGUAUUGCAACCCACAAAGUAUACCUCUAUGUCGGUCCAGAAAUCCUUCAAUUUACCAAGAGAUUAUGUUUGAAAAUCUUAGAAAAAAUAAACAAUCCUGAAAAACUAAGUAGGUAAGCCAGUGCCUUUGAAGACCAGAAGAGUAAGAAGAGGAGGCCACACCUCCACUUUUUCCUCUUUUCUUGCCACCUACAGUCUGCAUGUGGCGGCAACCUAAUUUUGAUUGUGCAGAGCCCAUAUCUGUUCUGUUCACCAUCAUAUACCAAGUGCCUUACAGAAUGCCUGGAACAUAGUAGACACUCAACAAAUAUUCAUUGAAUGAAUGAAUGAAUGACACUAGGCUUAGAUACUAGCUUAAAAUAACAGAAGAAGAAUCCUAAUUUCAUUAAAAGUAGGACCAGCUUUACAGACCAGUGGGAGAUCCAGGCUACAGGGAGAACACAUGGAAUUCCAGAAUCAUGAACCAUCUGGAAGGGGCUGAGGACACAUAUGAAGUACAGUCUAAAGCUUCAGGAUCAAUUUUGGGAGCCAGAUGUUCUUCAUUUAACGGCAAAAGACCAGAGGAUCAAGGUUUCUGACUAGUCCUGCUUCCCCCUACUCCCAUGUGAACUUUGAAUUCAGUUUAUCUAGUUCCAGAAAUAAACAAGUUGGUAGUUUAUUAAAACACUCCUGGAAUGUAUUUAUUUGAGGAGUAGCAGGAAGAAGAAAGAGAAGGAAGCAGGCUAGGCGUGGUGGCUCAUGCCUGUAAUCUCAGCACUUUGGGAGGCCGAGGCAGGCAGAUCACGAAGUCAAGAGAUCAAGACCAUCCUGGCCAACAUGGUGAAACUCCAUCUCUGCUAAAAAUACAAAAAUUAGCCGGGCGUGGUGGCGCGCGCCUGUAAUCCCAGCUACUCAGGAGGCUGAGGCAGGAGAAUUGCUUGAACUCUGGAGGCGGAAGUUGCAUUGAGCCAAGAUUGCACCACUGCACUCCAGCCUGGGUGACAGAGCGAGACUCCAUCUCAAAAAAAAAAAAGAAAAAAAAGAGAAAAAAGAAAGAAAGAGAAGAAGCAGAGGAGAAGAGGGAAGAGGAGAAGAAACCAACUAUUCUAUAGAAACAAAAUGAAAUCUAAAAUUCUAUGCAAACUUUAAAAAAUAACUUACCUAGUACAGCUGACUCCUGGUUCAAUAGUGAGGAAAUAUUGGUUGGAGAAUUCAGUGAUAAAGAAUCAUGUGAAUUGUAAUAAGAGAAGAGGGAUGUAGAGGAUGUUGGCAACAGAGAAGAAGGAAAAACAGUUCCAUCUUGCUUCUCAGGUAAAUCAAGAGACAUCUUAGAACUGGUACCACUUGGAGGCCAUGAUGAAAAAUAAGGAUUUUCCACUAAAGGCAAGAAAAAAAAAAGCAUUCAAAUUGGAAAAAAAGGCUGCGCACAGUGGCUCACGCCUGUAAUCCCAGCACUUUGGG
rnacentral:lncRNA from 1 species